rnacentral:rRNA from 1 species
UAGGGAAUCUUCGGCAAUGGACGGAAGUCUGACCGAGCAACGCCGCGUGAGUGAAGAAGGUUUUCGGAUCGUAAAGCUCUGUUGUAAGAGAGGAACGAGUGUGAGAGUGGAAAGUUCACACUGUGACGGUAUCUUACCAGAAAGGGACGGCUAACUACGUGCCAGCAGCCGCGGUAAUACGUAGGUCCCGAGCGUUGUCCGGAUUUAUUGGGCGUAAAGCGAGCGCAGGCGGUUAGAUAAGUCUGAAGUUAAAGGCUGUGGCUUAACCAUAGUAGGCUUUGGAAACUGUUUAACUUGAGUGCAAGAGGGGAGAGUGGAAUUCCAUGUGUAGCGGUGAAAUGCGUAGAUAUAUGGAGGAACACCGGUGGCGAAAGCGGCUCUCUGGCUUGUAACUGACGCUGAGGCUCGAAAGCGUGGGGAGCAAACAGGAUUAGAUACCCUGGUAGUCCACGCUGUAAACGAUGAGUGCUAGGUGUUAGACCCUUUCCGGGGUUUAGUGCCGUAGCUAACGCAUUAAGCACUCCGCCUGGGGAGUACGACCGCAAGGUUG